rnacentral:rRNA from 1 species
CCUACGGGAGGCUGCAGUGAGGAAUAUUGGUCAAUGGGCGCGAGCCUGAACCAGCCAAGUCGCGUGAAGGAAGACGGUUCUAUGGAUUGUAAACUUCUUUUGUAAGGGAAUAAAAAAGAGUACGUGUACUCUAUUGUAUGUACUUUACGAAUAAGGAUCGGCUAACUCCGUGCCAGCAGCCGCGGUAAUACGGAGGAUCCAAGCGUUAUCCGGAUUUAUUGGGUUUAAAGGGUGCGUAGGCGGACUAAUUAGUCAGCGGUGAAAGUUUGCAGCUUAACUGUAAAAUUGCCGUUGAAACUGUUAGUCUUGAGUGUAAAUGAGGUAGGCGGAAUGUGUUGUGUAGCGGUGAAAUGCUUAGAUAUAACACAGAACACCAAUUGCGAAGGCAGCUUACUAGAAUACAACUGACGCUGAGGCACGAAAGCGUGGGGAUCAAACAGGCUUAGAUACCCGAGUAGUC